GGGUAGGCGUAGCGAAAGCGAGUCUUAAUAGGGCGUUUAGUCGCUGGGUAUAGACCCGAAACCGGGCGAUCUAUCCAUGAGCAGGUUGAAGGUUAGGUAACACUGACUGGAGGACCGAACCCACUCCCGUUGAAAAGGUAGGGGAUGACUUGUGGAUCGGAGUGAAAGGCUAAUCAAGCUCGGAGAUAGCUGGUUCUCCUCGAAAGCUAUUUAGGUAGCGCCUCAUGUAUCACUCUGGGGGGUAGAGCACUGUUUCGGCUAGGGGGUCAUCCCGACUUACCAAACCGAUGCAAACUCCGAAUACCCAGAAGUGCCGAGCAUGGGAGACACACGGCGGGUGCUAACGUCCGUCGUGAAAAGGGAAACAACCCAGACCGCCAGCUAAGGUCCCAAAGUUGUGGUUAAGUGGUAAACGAUGUGGGAAGGCUUAGACAGCUAGGAGGUUGGCUUAGAAGCAGCCACCCUUUAAAGAAAGCGUAAUAGCUCACUAGUCGAGUCGGCCUGCGCGGAAGAUGUAACGGGGCUCAAACCACACACCGAAGCUGCGGGUGUCACGUAAGUGACGCGGUAGAGGAGCGUUCUGUAAGCCUGUGAAGGUGAGUUGAGAAGCUUGCUGGAGGUAUCAGAAGUGCGAAUGCUGACAUGAGUAACGACAAUGGGUGUGAAAAACACCCACGCCGAAAGACCAAGGGUUCCUGCGCAACGUUAAUCGACGCAGGGUUAGUCGGUUCCUAAGGCGAGGCUGAAAAGCGUAGUCGAUGGGAAACAGGUUAAUAUUCCUGUACUUCUGGUUACUGCGAUGGAGGGACGGAGAAGGCUAGGCCAGCUUGGCGUUGGUUGUCCAAGUUUAAGGUGGUAGGCUGAAAUCUUAGGUAAAUCCGGGGUUUCAAGGCCGAGAGCUGAUGACGAGUCGUCUUUUAGAUGACGAAGUGGUUGAUGCCAUGCUUCCAAGAAAAGCUUCUAAGCUUCAGGUAACCAGGAACCGUACCCCAAACCGACACAGGUGGUCGGGUAGAGAAUACCAAGGCGCUUGAGAGAACUCGGGUGAAGGAACUAGGCAAAAUGGCACCGUAACUUCGGGAGAAGGUGCGCCGGCUAGGGUGAAGGAUUUACUCCGUAAGCUCUGGCUGGUCGAAGAUACCAGGCCGCUGCGACUGUUUAUUAAAAACACAGCACUCUGCAAACACGAAAGUGGACGUAUAGGGUGUGACGCCUGCCCGGUGCCGGAAGGUUAAUUGAUGGGGUUAGCGCAAGCGAAGCUCUUGAUCGAAGCCCCGGUAAACGGCGGCCGUAACUAUAACGGUCCUAAGGUAGCGAAAUUCCUUGUCGGGUAAGUUCCGACCUGCACGAAUGGCGUAACGAUGGCGGCGCUGUCUCCACCCGAGACUCAGUGAAAUUGAAAUCGCUGUGAAGAUGCAGUGUAUCCGCGGCUAGACGGAAAGACCCCGUGAACCUUUACUGUAGCUUUGCACUGGACUUUGAGCCUGCUUGUGUAGGAUAGGUGGGAGGCUUUGAAGCGUGGACGCCAGUUCGCGUGGAGCCAUCCUUGAAAUACCACCCUGGCAUGCUUGAGGUUCUAACUCUGGUCCGUAAUCCGGAUCGAGGACAGUGUAUGGUGGGCAGUUUGACUGGGGCGGUCUCCUCCUAAAGAGUAACGGAGGAGUACGAAGGUGCGCUCAGACCGGUCGGAAAUCGGUCGCAGAGUAUAAAGGCAAAAGCGCGCUUGACUGCGAGACAGACACGUCGAGCAGGUACGAAAGUAGGUCUUAGUGAUCCGGUGGUUCUGUAUGGAAGGGCCAUCGCUCAACGGAUAAAAGGUACUCCGGGGAUAACAGGCUGAUACCGCCCAAGAGUUCAUAUCGACGGCGGUGUUUGGCACCUCGAUGUCGGCUCAUCACAUCC
rnacentral:rRNA from 1 species